CCUCGGUGAACAUUCAACGCUGUCGGUGAGUUUGGUAUGAAUCACAUAAAAACCAUCGACCGUUGACUGUGCCCCGCGG
rfam:Salmo salar isolate Sally breed double haploid chromosome ssa14, whole genome shotgun sequence.